rnacentral:rRNA from 1 species
UAGGUGUUCCCUUCGGGGACGCUGAGACAGGUGGUGCAUGGCUGUCGUCAGCUCGUGUCGUGAGAUGUUGGGUUAAGUCCCGCAACGAGCGCAACCCUUGUCAUUAGUUGCCAUCAUUAAGUUGGGCACUCUAAUGAGACUGCCGGUGACAAACCGGAGGAAGGUGGGGAUGACGUCAAGUCAUCAUGCCCCUUAUGACCUGGGCUACACACGUGCUACAAUGGACGGUACAACGAGAAGCGAACCUGCGAAGGCAAGCGGAUCUCUUAAAGCCGUUCUCAGUUCGGACUGUAGGCUGCAACUCGCCUACACGAAGCUGGAAUCGCUAGUAAUCGCGGAUCAGCACGCCGCGGUGAAUACGUUCCCGGGCCUUGUACACACCGCCCGUCACACCAUGAGAGUCUGUAACACCCAAAGCCGGUGGGAUAACCUUUAUAGGAGUCAGCCGUCUAAGGUAGGACAGAUGAUUAGGGUGAAGUCGUAACAAGGUAGCCGUAGGAGAACCUGCGGCUGGAUCACCUC